AUUGAACGCUGGCGGCGUGCCUAACACAUGCAAGUCGAGCGGUAACAGGUGUAGCAAUACAUGCUGACGAGCGGCGGACGGGUGAGCAAUGCUUGGGAAUCUGCCUAUUAGUGGGGGACAACCCGGGGAAACUCGGGCUAAUACCGCAUACGCACCCAUGGUGGAAAGCCGGGGACCGCAAGGCCUGGCGCUAAUAGAUGAGCCCAAGUCGGAUUAGCUAGUUGGGAGGUAAUGGCUCACCAAGGCGACGAUCCGUAGCUGGUCUGAGAGGACGACCAGCCACACCGGAACUGAGACACGGUCCGGACUCCUACGGGAGCAGCAGUGGGGAAUAUUGGACAAGUGGGGGAAACCCUGAUCCAGCGACGCCGCGUGGGUGAAGAAGGCCUGCGGGUUGUAAA
rnacentral:rRNA from 1 species